rnacentral:tRNA from 2 species
GGGCGAUUAGCUCAGUUGGUUAGAGCGCACGCUUCACACGCGUGAGGUCCGCGGUUCGAGUCCGCGAUCGCCCACCA